CAACUUGAAUGGUUACUAAAUAUACCAGGCAUGCAUGGGGCUGAGAUAGGUGGGGUUAUGUGCAGCUGAACAAACACGAUGACUAUUUCUGUAGGGACCCUGAGUGUUUGGCACUUUGGGUUUGAUGAUGUACCUUGCUAUUUAAGGAGUGUGGGAGAAUUAUCCUAUCUGAAGUUCAGAAUAGACUUUUCUCUUCAAGAGAAAAUUAUUUUUAAGUAUUUGAAUGAUUCUUGAGUAGAAUAUACCUAUCAUAAAAAUUUACAAUCUACAAUUCACGGUUCCAAGAUGAGAUCAGAGGGCCACAGAUGUAAUUGGCACGGAUCUUCAUUGUAUCAUGGGGGAGCUAACUGUGGUGCGUGGACUCUUUAAUUGUGGCUCAUGGGCUUAGCUGCUCCACAGCAUGUGGGAUCCUAGUUCCCAGAGCCGGGAUGGAAGCUGAGUGCUCCGCAUUGCAAGACAGCUUCUUAACCACUGAACACCUGAGAAGUCUCUGGAUGGCAGUUUUUAAACAGCCACUCUGAAGAUGGGGAUUUUAUUGUACCACUUUACUUUUCCCUCCCUUCUGUCAUAGAGUUAGGGAACUGCAACCAAAUCUGGCCUUCUGCUUGCUUUUGUUAAUAAAAUUUCACUAUAACUUGUCCAAUUGUUAUGCUCAGUUUUUUGGGGUUUUGUGUAGUCUUGCUUUUGACCUAUAGCUGUGAAAUUAAAUAGUCUUGACAGAGGCCAUGUAGCCCAAUAAAUAGUAAAAUAUUUACUACUUG
ensembl:lncRNA